CAUGCAAGUCGAGCGAACAGAUAAGGAGCUUGCUCCUUUGAAGUUAGCGGCGGACGGGUGAGUAACACGUGGGUAACCUACCUAUAAGACUGGGAUAACUUCGGGAAACCGGAGCUAAUACCGGAUAACAUUUAGAACCGCAUGGUUCUAAAGUGAAAGAUGGUUUUGCUAUCACUUAUAGAUGGACCCGCGCCGUAUUAGCUAGUUGGUAAGGUAACGGCUUACCAAGGCGACGAUACGUAGCCGACCUGAGAGGGUGAUCGGCCACACUGGAACUGAGACACGGUCCAGACUCCUACGGGAGGCAGCAGUAGGGAAUCUUCCGCAAUGGGCGAAAGCCUGACGGAGCAACGCCGCGUGAGUGAUGAAGGGUUUCGGCUCGUAAAACUCUGUUAUUAGGGAAGAACAAAUGUGUAAGUAACUGUGCACAUCUUGACGGUACCUAAUCAGAAAGCCACGGCUAA
rnacentral:rRNA from 1 species